rnacentral:rRNA from 1 species
CCUACGGGUGGCAGCAGUGGGGAAUAUUGGACAAUGGGCGAAAGCCUGAUCCAGCCAUGCCGCGUGUGUGAAGAAGGCCUUCGGGUUGUAAAGCACUUUCAGUGGGGAAGAAAGCCUUGGGGCUAAUACCCUCGAGGAAGGACAUCACCCACAGAAGAAGCACCGGCUAACUCCGUGCCAGCAGCCGCGGUAAUACGGAGGGUGCGAGCGUUAAUCGGAAUUACUGGGCGUAAAGCGCGCGUAGGCGGUCUGAUAAGCCGGUUGUGAAAGCCCCGGGCUCAACCUGGGAACGGCAUCCGGAACUGUCAGGCUAGAGUGCAGGAGAGGAAGGUAGAAUUCCCGGUGUAGCGGUGAAAUGCGUAGAGAUCGGGAGGAAUACCAGUGGCGAAGGCGGUCUUCUGGACCGACACUGACGCUGAGGUGCGAAAGCGUGGGUAGCAAACAGGAUUAGAUACCCCAGUAGUC